GGGAAGGGGCGUGGCCCCCUGAGUGAUAGGUUGGCUCUGGGGCCUGGCAGGGAGAGUGACAUUUCAGAAGGACUCCCUGGAGAGCCCCUUUCCCCUCUCAUCCACACUCAGACCAGAGGGCCCUCCGCCUGCCCUGCCCCGGUCAUGAGCCCCUGCCUCCUGGGCUGUGUGGUUUUCUGUCUCCUGCAGGCAGGGGCGGUCCAUGCUGGGGUCACUCAGGACCCCAGAUUCCAGGUCGUGAAGACAGGACAGAGUGCGACACUGACAUGUACUCAGGAUCUGAGCUUCAGCUAUAUGUACUGGUACCGACAAGACCCAGGACAUGGGCUGAGACUGAUCCAUUACUCAGUUAUCCCUCACACCACGGAGAAAGGAGCCGUGCCCGAGGGCUACAGCGUCUCCAGACCAAGCACAGAGAACUUCCCUCUCAGGCUGGAGUCUGCCCACCGCUCCCAGACAUCUGUGUACUUCUGCACCUGUGGUUAUCCACGGCGCUGCACGGCCACCUCCUCUCUGUGCAAAAAGAUAAGGGACGCCCUGCAGCCUGGAAGGAGGAGAGCCCCUUGCAGGCUUCUCACACGUGGAAACUUGGAAGCCAGGGCCACAUGCCUGCAGUGUAACACUGAGUGUGCAGUCUCAUAUCACGCCCAGCUACAUCGACGUCAAAUGUAG